rnacentral:rRNA from 1 species
ACGCGAAGAACCUUACCUGGGUUCGAAAUGCAGGUGUAAGCCUCAGAGAUGAGGUCCCCUCUUCGGAGGCACCUGUAUAGGUGCUGCAUGGCUGUCGUCAGCUCGUGUCGUGAGAUGUUGGGUUAAGUCCCGCAACGAGCGCAACCCUUGUCCAUAGUUGCUAACGCGUAGUGGCGAGAACUCUAUGGAGACUGCCGGUGAUAAACCGGAGGAAGGUGGGGAUGACGUCAAGUCCUCAUGGCCUUUAUGUCCAGGGCUACACACGUGCUACAAUGGGCGGUACAAAGAGUUGCGAUCCCGCAAGGGGGAGCUAAUCUCAAAAAGCCGCUCUCAGUUCGGAUUGUUCUCUGCAACUCGAGAGCAUGAAGCUGGAAUCGCUAGUAAUCGCGGAUCAGCACGCCGCGGUGAAUACGUUCCCGGGCCUUGUA